AUUGAACGCUGGCGGCAUGCUUUACACAUGCAAGUCGAACGGCAGCGCGGGCUUCGGCCUGGCGGCGAGUGGCGAACGGGUGAGUAAUACAUCGGAACGUGCCCAGUAGUGGGGGAUAGCUCGGCGAAAGCCGGAUUAAUACCGCAUACGACCUGAGGGUGAAGGCGGGGGAUCUUCGGACCUCGCGCUAUUGGAGCGGCCGAUGGCAGAUUAGCUAGUUGGUGGGGUAAAGGCCUACCAAGGCGACGAUCUGUAGCUGGUCUGAGAGGACGACCAGCCACACGGGGACUGAGACACAGCCCAGACUCCUACGGGAGGCAGCAGUGGGGAAUUUUGGACAAUGGGCGAAAGCCUGAUCCAGCAAUGCCGCGUGUGUGAUGAAGGCCUUCGGGUUGUAAAGCACUUUUGGCGGGAACGAAAAGGACUGUGCCAAUACCACGGUUCGAUGACGGUACCCGCAGAAUAAGCACCGGCUAACUACGUG
rnacentral:rRNA from 1 species